rnacentral:rRNA from 1 species
UACAGAGGUCCUGAGCGUUGUUCGGAUUCACUGGGCGUAAAGGGUGCGUAGGUGGCGAGGUAAGUCGGAUGUGAAAGCUCGGAGCUCAACUCCGAAAUGGCAUUGGAAACUACCUUGCUCGAGGGUUGGAGGGGGGACUGGAAUUCUCGGUGUAGCAGUGAAAUGCGUAGAUAUCGAGAGGAACACCAGUGGCGAAGGCGAGUCCCUGGACAACUCCUGACACUGAGGCACGAAAGCUAGGGGAGCAAACAGG